rnacentral:rRNA from 1 species
UACAGAGGUCUCAAGCGUUGUUCGGAUUCAUUGGGCGUAAAGGGUGCGUAGGCGGCGCGGCAAGUCGGGUGUGAAAUCUCGGAGCUUAACUCCGAAACUGCAUUCGAUACUGCCGUGCUUGAGGACUGGAGAGGAGACUGGAAUUUACGGUGUAGCGGUGAAAUGCGUAGAUAUCGUAAGGAAGACCAGUGGCGAAGGCGGGUCUCUGGACAGUUACUGACGCUGAGGCACGAAGGCCAGGGGAGCAAACGGG